rnacentral:sRNA from 1 species
AAGAGAACGAUGUCUUGUGCCAACGCGC